GUGCUUGCUUCGGCAGCACAUAUACUAAAAUUGGAACGAUACAGAGAUUAGCAUGGCCCCUGUGCAAGGAUGACAUGCAAAUUUGUGAAGCAUUCCAUAUUUUU